rnacentral:lncRNA from 1 species
AUGGCUCGGGCCAGCAGCGGGAACGGCAGCGAGGAGGCCUGGGGGGCACUUCGGGCGCCGCAACAGCAGCUUCGAGAGCUGUGCCCAGGAGUGAACAACCAGCCCUACCUCUGUGAGAGUGGUCACUGCUGCAGGGAGACUGGCUGCUGCACCUACUACUAUGAGCUCUGGUGGUUCUGGCUGCUCUGGACUGUCCUCAUCCUCUUUAGCUGCUGUUGGGCCUUCCGCCACCGACGAGCUAAACUCAGGCUGCAACAACAGCAGCGGCAGCGUGAAAUCAACUUGUUGGCCUAUCAUGGGGCAUGCCAUGGGGCUGGUCCUUUCCCUACCGGUUCACUGCUUGACCUUCGCCUCCUCAGCACCUUCAAGCCCCCAGCCUACGAGGAUGUGGUUCACCGCCCAGGCACCACCCCCCGCCCCCCGCCUC